rfam:Oryza glaberrima chromosome 7 Oglab07_0114_6, whole genome shotgun sequence.
AUACCUUUCUCGGCCUUUUGGCUAAGAUGAAGUAUAAUAUCGGUUCUUAUUAUUUUAUUAUCUGAUACGUGGGUCAUGAGCCUACGAUGAUAUUAAAUUUAUUUUCAUUACUAGCAAAA